GGCCAUUUCCUGUAAUAUAUUAUCUAUUAACGCUUCAAGGGUCCGUGGCUUCUCGACAUAAAAUCUAGACUUUAAAUAGCCAUACAGGAGAAAGUUUGGUCGCCGACAGGAUUUUGUAUUCCGAGUCGAACCCUGCAGGUGAGAGUGGGGAAGUUCGGGCGCUUUUGGGCUUUGCUGCAGCUCACCGGACACGAUAGUUGAUAUUGAUAUUUGCGGUUAUUAGACACAAUCGCAUGCAUUUUUUUUCAUUAUUGCAAAUC